CUGGUUGAUCCUGCCGGACAAGACUGCUAUCAGAGUUCGACUAAGCCAUGCAAGUCUUUCCGCAAGGAAGGCAAAAGGCUGAGUAACACGUAGCUAACCUACUCUCAAGUGGGGCAUACCCUCGAGAAAUUGAGGAUAAUUCCCCAUAGCUUUCGGAAACUGAAAUGUUCCAAAAGCAAAAGCCUCGGCGCUUGAGAAUGGGGCUGCGGCCUAUCAGCUUGUUGGUAAGGUAAUGGCUUACCAAGGCUAAGACGGGUAGGGGCAAUGUGAGUUGGAGCCCCCAGAUGGGUACUGAGACACGGACCCAAGCCCUACGGGGUGCAGCAGGCGCGCAACCUUCGCAAUGCACGCAAGUGUGACGAGGGGACUCUGAGUGUUUGCACUUCUUGUGCAAACUUUUAAUCUGUGUAAAUAGCUGGUAGAAUAAGAGCUGGGAAAGACGGGUGCCAGCCGCCGCGGUAAUACCCGCAGCUCGAGUGGUCUUGACCUUUAUUGGGUCUAAAGCGUCCGUAGCCGGGCUUGCAAGUUCUCUGUGAAAUCUGGCAGCUUAACUGUCAGGCGUGCAGAGGAUACUACGAGUCUCGAGACAGGGAUGGGUGAGGGGUACUUCAGGGGUAGGGGUGAAAUCCAAUAAUCCUUGGGGGACCACCAGUGGCCAAGGCGCCUCGCUAAAACUGUUCUGACGGUGAGGGACGAAAGCUAGGGGAGCAAACGGGAUUAGAUACCCCGGUAGUCCUAGCUGUAAAUCAUGUGGACUGGGUGUUGCUGCCGCUUCGUGCGGCUGCAGUGCCGUAGGGAAGCCGUUAAGUCCACCACCUGGGAAGUACGGCCGCAAGGCUGAAACUUAAAGGAAUUGACGGGGGAGCACCACAAGGGGUGGAGUCUGCGGUUUAAUUGGAUUCAACGCCGGG
rnacentral:rRNA from 1 species